ACUGGUGAUAACUGCAGGGAUGUAUUUGAAAGCCACUGUACCCAUUUUUCUAGAUGAAAAUAUCUUCCCUUGAAUGGCCCAAGUGAAGGUAAAUGACUUCUAGUCUGCCCUCUCUGAAACCCAUGCCCCACUGCUCAUCAAAGAAGACUGAGGUCCUCAAAGAUGAGAAUGGCUGCCUAUUAAAGACCCUUCCAAUAGACUGCAGCACAGUGGAUGGACUAGACAGACAGGUGGAGUCAGGAUUCCACAAGCCCACUGUCCUUCUCUUCUGGUACCCAGGAAUCUGACCAAAACAGCCCUUCUGGUUUUCCUGGGACUAAGCACAUUUGUGGAACACCAGGCAAUCAGAGCUAAAGUUGAGAAAGCCCAGGGCAAACUCAGAUGAGCUGGCUCCCCCUACAAAAUGCUUUCUGCUGAAGGUCGUUAAGAGCUUAUGUGAAGAAAAAUGAGGCAGGACAUCAUGAUGAGAGUGUGUGACAGACCAAGCUGCCCUCCUCAUGGCAACAUGUAACAGAGAGAGAAGAAGAGGAAGGUCUGGGAAUGUCACAUUCCCCUCAGAGAAUGCACAUUUAUCUGGAAUAAAGUCUCUGCAUAUGUAGCUAAUUAAAGGUCUCAAGAUGAAAUCUUCCUGAAUUUGGGGUGGCCUCAUCAAAGAAAGAGAGGGAGUUAUGGACAUCAAGGAGAUUGUGUAAAGAUGGAGGCAAAUAUUAAGGUUUUGCUGUCUCAGAAAAGGAAAUUUUGCAGAAAGUAUAAGGUACUGGAAGAUUCAAGGAAGGAAGCUUUCUCCAGACCCAUCAGAGAGACAUGGCCCUGCUAU
rnacentral:lncRNA from 1 species